rnacentral:rRNA from 1 species
AGUGGCGGACGGGUGAGUAACGCGUGAGAAUCUGCCUUCAGGAUGGGGACAACAGUUGGAAACGACUGCUAAUACCCGAUGUGCCGAGAGGUGAAAAUUUUUUGCCUGAAGAGGAGCUCGCGUCUGAUUAGCUAGUUGGUGGGGUAAAGGCUUACCAAGGCAACGAUCAGUAGCUGGUCUGAGAGGAUGAGCAGCCACACUGGGACUGAGACACGGCCCAGACUCCUACGGGAGGCAGCAGUGGGGAAUUUUCCGCAAUGGGCGAAAGCCUGACGGAGCAAUACCGCGUGAGGGAGGAAGGCCUUUGGGUUGUAAACCUCUUUUCUCAGGGAAGAAGAUCUGACGGUACCUGAGGAAUAAGCAUCGGCUAACUCCGUGCCAGCAGCCGCGGUAAUACGGAGGAUGCAAGCGUUAUCCGGAAUUAUUGGGCGUAAAGCGUCCGCAGGUGGUUUUUCAAGUCUGCUGUCAAAGACCAGAGCUCAACUCUGGGCCGGCGGUGGAAACUGGGAAACUAGAGUUCGGUAGGGGUAGCGGGAAUUCCCAGUGUAGCGGUGAAAUGCGUAGAUAUUGGGAAGAACAUCGGUGGCGAAGGCGCGCUACUGGACCGAAACUGACACUCAGGGACGAAAGCUAGGGGAGCGAAAGGGAUUAGAUACCCC